rnacentral:rRNA from 1 species
UACGGAGGGUGCGAGCGUUGUCCGGAAUCACUGGGCGUAAAGCGCACGUAGGCGGCGGCGUAAGUUGGAUGUGAAAUCCCCCGGCCCAACCGGGGAACUGCGUCCAGUACUGCGUUGCUUGAGGAUCCAAGGGGUGCAUGGAAUUCCCGGUGGAGCGGUGAAAUGCGUUGAUAUCGGGAGGAACUCCGGCGGCGAAAGCGGUGCACUGGUGGAUUACUGACGCUGAGGUGCGAAAGCCAGGGGAGCAAACGGG